UACGUAGGGUCCGAGCGUUGUCCGGAAUUAUUGGGCGUAAAGAGCUCGUAGGCGGCUUGUCACGUCGAUUGUGAAAGCCCGAGGCUUAACCUCGGGUCUGCAGUCGAUACGGGCUAGCUAGAGUGUGGUAGGGGAGAUCGGAAUUCCUGGUGUAGCGGUGAAAUGCGCAGAUAUCAGGAGGAACACCGGUGGCGAAGGCGGAUCUCUGGGCCAUUACUGACGCUGAGGAGCGAAAGCGUGGGGAGCGAACAGG
rnacentral:rRNA from 1 species